rnacentral:rRNA from 1 species
AGCGAACGCUGGCGGCAGGCCUAAUACAUGCAAGUCGAGCGGCCCUUCGGGGCAGCGGCGGACGGGUGAGUAACGCGUGGGAACGUGCCCUUUGGUACGGAACAACUGAGGGAAACUUCAGCUAAUACCGUAUGUGCCCUUCGGGGGAAAGAUUUAUCGCCAUUGGAGCGGCCCGCGUUAGAUUAGCUAGUUGGUAGGGUAACGGCCUACCAAGGCGACGAUCUAUAGCUGGUCUGAGAGGAUGAUCAGCCACACUGGGACUGAGACACGGCCCAGACUCCUACGGGAGGCAGCAGUAGGGAAUCUUGCGCAAUGGGCGAAAGCCUGACGCAGCCAUGCCGCGUGAAUGAUGAAGGUCUUAGGAUUGUAAAAUUCUUUCACCGGGGACGAUAAUGACGGUACCCGGAGAAGAAGCCCCGGCUAACUUCGUGUCAGCCGCCGCAGUAAUAC